rnacentral:rRNA from 1 species
AGGCAAUAGAUACCCAGGUAGUCCACGCUGUAAACGAUGUCGACUCGGUGUGUGGUGCGCGUUUUGCGCGCGCUGCGUGCCUUAGCUCACGCGGGAAGUCGACCGCCUGGGGACUACGAGCGCAAGCUUAAAACUCAAAGGAAUUGACGGGGCCCGCACAAGCAGCGGAGCGUGUGGUUUAAUUCGACGUAACGCGCAGAACCUCACCCAGACUGGACAUGGACCUGCACACGCGUGAAAGCGCGGAGCCUUCGAGGGUGGUCCACAGAUGCUGCAUGGCUGUCGUCAGCUCGUGUCGUGAGAUGUUGGGUUAAGUCCCGCAACAAGCGCAACCCCUGCCGUAGUUACUGCGUGUCUACGGGGACGGGCGCCUGGAUGGGCGCAGGAAGGCGGGGAUGAUGUCAAGUCCGCAUGGCUCUUACGUCUGGGGCGACACACACGCUACAAUGGGACGAGUAGUGGGCAGCAAGACCGCAAGGUGGAGCGAAUCCUCAAUCCGU